UUGAACGCUGGCGGCAGGCCUAACACAUGCCAGUCGAGCGGAUGAAGGGAGCUUGCUCCUGGAUUCAGCGGCGGACGGGUGAGUAAUGCCUAGGAAUCUGCCUGGUAGUGGGGGAUAACGUCCGGAAACGGGCGCUAAUACCGCAUACGUCCUGAGGGAGAAAGUGGGGGAUCUUCGGACCUCACGCUAUCAGAUGAGCCUAGGUCGGAUUAGCUAGUUGGUGGGGUAAAGGCCUACCAAGGCGACGAUCCGUAACUGGUCUGAGAGGAUGAUCAGUCACACUGGAACUGAGACACGGUCCAGACUCCUACGGGAGGCAGCAGUGGGGAAUAUUGGACAAUGGGCGAAAGCCUGAUCCAGCCAUGCCGCGUGUGCGAAGAAGGUCUUCGGAUUGUAAAGCACUUUAAGUUGGGAGGAAGGGCAGUAAGUUAAUACCUUGCUGUUUUGACGUUACCAACAGAAUAAGCACCGGCUAACUUCGUG
rnacentral:rRNA from 1 species